rnacentral:rRNA from 1 species
GACGUAGGGCGCGAGCGUUGUCCGGAUUUAUUGGGCGUAAAGAGCUCGUAGGCGGCUUGUCGCGUCAACUGUGAAAACCCGUGGCUCAACCAUGUGGUCUGCAGUCGAUACGGGCAGGCUAGAAUUCGGUAGGGGAGACUGGAAUUCCUGGUGUAGCGGUGAAAUGCGCAGAUAUCAGGAGGAACACCGGUGGCGAGGGCGGGUCUCUGGGCCGAUAUUGACGCUGAGGAGCGAAAGCGUGGGGAGCGAACAGG